rnacentral:rRNA from 1 species
CCCUUAGAUGUUCUGGGCCGCACGCGUGCUACACUGAGUGAAUCAGCGGGUCAGGUUGCGCGAAAGCGUUUCCUAAUCUUGAAAUCCGCUCGUGAUGGGGAUUGACGGUUGCAAUUUUCUGUCAUGAACGAGGAAUACCUUGUAAGCGCGGGUCAUCAUCCCGCGCUGAAUACGUCCCUGCCCUUUGUACACACCGCCCGUCGCUCCUACCGAUUGAGUGGUCCGGUGAGGCUUUGGGAUCUGAGCGGAAAGAGCGUUUCGCUCGUUCUGCCCGGAAAACUCAGUCGAACCUUAUCAUUUAGAGGAAGGAGAAGUCGUAACA